GGUGACGUCAUCACUCUGCGCCGCAAGACUGAGGCGUCCGUGCGGAAGUGGUGCGGGGCUGCGCGUUGCUCCAACGCCGCUGGGCAGCUCCGGGCUCCGAGCGCCGCUUCAGCUUCUACAGAUCUUCCUUGACUGCAGUGGCUGUUGUGUCAUGGACAUUCCUGCGUGUCCUCAGCUGUUAUCAGCAAGUUUGUCCCAGCUUUUGUGUCUUCUUGCAGGACUUUAUUGGAUACAGCUAAUGAUAGAUGGAGAUAAAAUGAAGGAUUCCUUUGCAAACUGUAUCCUUAAGUGUCCAGAAGUGAACGAGCCUACGACUCACAUGCAGUAAGUACACCAUGAAAAAGAUUCUCUCAUUUUGGUCACUUGAGCUAUUACAGGAUAACAUCAUUAACUGUUGCGUGGUCUUGAUCAGACUGCUUCCCAACUGCUUGAUCAAGGAGAGCAGGCAGAAGCCUUUUGUCAGCAAUCUGAGGUGUCUGCAGAUCAAUGAGCAGCUGCCUAUGGGAGCUGCAAUUGCCCUGGCAUUCUCUGGCUGAACAGAACAACAGGCCACCGAGUUCAGCCAACUUCUUCACACAGCUGCUGGGGGGAAACACAGGUGAUGCUCAGCUGGGUCUCACACUGGCCAACAGGGAGCUGGUCAGGGCUGUGAUAGUCAGGGCAGCUUUGGCUGCUUUCACCUGACAUGGACCUGAUACUCACAGAGGAGUGUGAAGGCUCCAGCUGAUAGAGUUUCCUUACAAGUAAAGGAGUAGAGAGGGGUGGUGCGGGCCUACUGUUGUGUUAAUAAGCACAGGAGCAGAGAGGGCUGAUGUACCUCACGGCUUCUUUGCCUCUGUUUUCACCAGCAACGCUUCCCUGGCUUUCAUGCCUGAAGGCAGGAUUCCAGAGCACAACUACCAAAUGGUGGGAGAACUCCUCAACAGCAGCCCUGCCAAGAAGCUCUUGGGCUUCCCUGGGAGACAAAAAGCUUCACCUGUGUCAGCAGUGUGUGCUGGUAGCCCAGAAAGCCAACAGUAUUGUGGACUGCAACAAAAGAGCAGUGGGCAGCAGGGAGGCGAUCGUCCUUCUCUGCUCAUGAGGCCCCAACUGGGUUGGGUGAGGCUGAUUCAUGAGGCCCCAACUAAAGUAUUGUGAAUCCUCUUGUGGUGUCCUGGCCCAUCUCGUGGCUUGGAAGAUCAUGGUGAUCUUACUUCUGUCUCGUCAGCUGAUGGCAGGUCAGCUCGUGCUGGAAGUUGGUGAUGUCGCUGUAUGAAUGAAGGUCAGUUCAGGAGCAGCUGCUGAUGGAAGGAAUGAAGUCCACGUUAAUGAGCUGAAGCAUCUCCUGGUAAGGUGUCAGAGCCGGCAGUAACCAUGUCUGUCGUGAAAAGCAGAAGGCUGGCUCAUCCAAGUGCUUGCUGAUUGAUGUGUGAGAGCAUCUGCCUUCUCCAACGAACAAUAAGAAAGCUGGAUAUGCUGAACCAUUACAGCUCAUGCAGAAGUUGUGAAAGUGCUCUCAAAUGUUUCCUUUAGUGAUAAGCUGUGUUUUGCACUGUGAUGGUCCUGUCUCUGAUCUGCAGCACUGCAUCUCUUGCAAGCCUUGUGCGCCCAUUUCCAUGAACCUUCCUUUCUUUCACUCUUCAGAAGAAGUGCUGGGUGCUUUUGGGGGAAUCAUGCAGGAGGCUGUCAGAAAGCCGGCUGUGAUUUUCCUCACAUGAAGGGAUGCAAAGGGAAUGGACGUCAUUGCCACCAAGCAGAAGUGAGCUUCUUAUGUUGUGAAAGAUAUAAUCUAGAUUAUUGAUUAUGAGCAGUUGCAGUGCGAUAGGGGACGUGAAGUAACUGUUUGGGAGUUCAGGGAAGAGCCAUGAGAAGUGAAAUGGCAGUUUGUGUUUUGGCUGUCAAAAUGGUGGAGCUUUCCUGGAGUGAAAGGUGUGGGCUUUGUGUAGGCAGGCCCCGGGUUGAUUUCUGUAAGCAGGCCCCCUCUCAGAUUGGUUUUUGCUUGCUGCUUGCUGUGCCUACCUGCCUGCUCCCUGUGCUUGCUGCAUCUGAUACCAGUGGUUGUGGCCGGGCUCCCCAGGGCUGUGGGCCUGGUCCUGAGCUGCUGCAGCUUAAAGACCAUCUGCGUUUGGGUUGUCCUUCCUGGAGCAUCGGGUUGGACUUGAUGAUCCUUGUGGAUCCCUUACAACUGGGGAUGUUCUGUGAUUCCAUGAUCUUGGUGAUUUGCCUGGAAAAUACCAGGUGAUUUUUUUUUUACCCUUAUUUUUUCCUGGCAUUUGAACUUGUAGUUUCACUUCCACAUGUGAGAGCGGAGUUGGAUAAGGGGAGGGUAAGUUGCUUCUUUAUUUUCUAUUCUCCCAGGUACGUCUGUGUAUUUAGUGCCCAAGUUGUGGUAGCUCUGUAACUGGGAAUGUUCCUAAUGGUCAUAAUAAGACUCUGCUGCCAGCACAGAAUUUGGCCACAGGACUGCCUGCUGGAUUAAGUUCUGUAGAUUGAUUAUCUGCUACUUGAGAUGGUCUGUUCUGUUUGUUUUUUCCAAGACGUCAGGUUUUGAGGUCACUGAGAUGUAUGGAUUAGUCAGUCACUUGCAUCUUGUUUGAGCUUGAAGCAGUUGAAUCGUCCCACACAGCGCUGUUAAAUCAAACCUUAUAAUGGCUUUGGGAUCGUAGCUCUGCGCUGCGUCCCUGGUGUGAA